rnacentral:rRNA from 1 species
UACGGAGGGUGCAAGCGUUAAUCGGAAUUACUGGGCGUAAAGCGUGCGUAGGCGGUUCGUUAAGUCUGUUGUGAAAGCCCCGGGCUCAACCUGGGAAUGGCAAUGGAUACUGGCGAGCUAGAGUGUGUCAGAGGAUGGUGGAAUUCCCGGUGUAGCGGUGAAAUGCGUAGAGAUCGGGAGGAACAUCAGUGGCGAAGGCGGCUACCUGGACCGGAACUGACGCUGAUGCGCGAAAGCGUGGGUAGCAAACAGG